rnacentral:rRNA from 1 species
GCAGUCGAGCGAAUGGAUAAGAGCUUGCUCUUAUGAAGUUAGCGGCGGACGGGUGAGUAACACGUGGGUAACCUGCCCAUAAGACUGGGAUAACUCCGGGAAACCGGGGCUAAUACCGGAUAACAUUUUGAACCGCAUGGUUCGAAAUUGAAAGGCGGCUUCGGCUGUCACUUAUGGAUGGACCCGCGUCGCAUUAGCUAGUUGGUGAGGUAACGGCUCACCAAGGCAACGAUGCGUAGCCGACCUGAGAGGGUGAUCGGCCACACUGGGACUGAGACACGGCCCAGACUCCUACGGGAGGCAGCAGUAGGGAAUCUUCCGCAAUGGACGAAAGUCUGACGGAGCAACGCCGCGUGAGUGAUGAAGGCUUUCGGGUCGUAAAACUCUGUUGUUAGGGAAGAACAAGUGCUAGUUGAAUAAGCUGGCACCUUGACGGUACCUAACCAGAAAGCCACGGCUAACUACGUGCCAGCAGCCGCGGUAAUACGUAGGUGGCAAGCGUUAUCCGGAAUUAUUGGGCGUAAAGCGCGCGCAGGUGGUUUCUUAAGUCUGAUGUGAAAGCCCACGGCUCAACCGUGGAGGGUCAUUGGAAACUGGGAGACUUGAGUGCAGAAGAGGAAAGUGGAAUUCCAUGUGUAGCGGUGAAAUGCGUAGAGAUAUGGAGGAACACCAGUGGCGAAGGCGACUUUCUGGUCUGUAACUGACACUGAGGCGCGAAAGCGUGGGGAGCAAACAGGAUUAAUACCCCUGGUAGUCCACGCCGUACGAUGAGUGCUAAGUGUUAAGGGUUUCCGCCCUUUAGUGCUGAAGUUAACGCAUUAACACUCCCGCCUGGGGAGUACGGCCGCAAGGCUGAAACU